UACGUAGGGUGCGAGCGUUAAUCGGAAUUACUGGGCGUAAAGCGUGCGUAGGCGGUUCGUUAAGUUCGUUGUGAAAGCCCCGGGCUCAACCUGGGAAUGGCAAUGGAAACUGGCGGGCUGGAGUAUGGCAGAGGGGGGUGGAAUUCCGCGUAUAGCAGUGAAAUGCGUAGAGAUGCGGAGGAACACCGAUGGCGAAGGCAGCCCCCUGGGCCAAUACUGACGCUCAGGCACGAAAGCGUGGGGAGCAAACAGG
rnacentral:rRNA from 1 species